rnacentral:lncRNA from 1 species
CACCCUGUUUAGGACAGUGCCUACAUAGGUAGGCAGUUAGGACAGUGCCUUACAUAUGUAAUAUGCUCAAUGAAUGAGAGCUUUCAGAAUUAGUCACAAUAAAAUCCAAUAUAAAAUAGGCAAAGAACACUUUUGCAGGAGUUGAGAUAUAAGGUUUUUUUCUUGUUUUUUGGGUUUUUUUUUUUGAGACAGAGUCUUGCUCUGUUGCCAGGCUGGAGUGCAGUGGCGCAAUCUCGGCUCACUGCAACCUCCACCUCCUGGGUUCAAGCGAGUCUCCUGCCUCAGCCUCCUGAGUAUCUGGGACUACAAGCGCCCACCACCAUGCCCAGAUAAUUUUUAGAGACGGAGUUUCACCAUGUUGGCCAGGAUGGUCUCGAUCUCUUGACCUCAUGAUCGCCCACCUCAGCCUGUAUCUUGCCCAUUAUCAAACUAUUUCUUGCUGCCAUAUUCUUUUCUAGUAUUUGACAUCUUGAUUUUCAGAACCUGGUCAAUCUUACCAUAAAAACCUAGCUGCCAUUUCACACCUCUGCUCUGACUGGCUCAAGGCCUGCUCUUCUUUAAUGCCUA